GGGACAGGAGGUGGCACCGGUGGGGACAGGAGGGGACCGGGAGGGACCUUUGGGGACAGGUGGGGACAGAGGUGGCACAGCUGGGGACAGGAGGGGACCUUUGGGGACAGGAGGUGGCACCGCUGGGGACAGGUGACACCGGUGGGGACGGGGAGGGACCUUUGGGGACAGG